UACGUAGGGUGCGAGCGUUAAUCGGAAUUACUGGGCGUAAAGCGCACGUAGGCGGUUUUUUAAGUCAGAUGUGAAAGCCCCGGGCUCAACCUGGGAAUUGCAUUUGAAACUGGGAAACUAGAGUGUGUGAGAGGGGGGUAGAAUUCCAAGUGUAGCGGUGAAAUGCGUAGAGAUUUGGAGGAAUACCAGUGGCGAAGGCGGCCCCCUGGCACAACACUGACGCUCAGGUGCGAAAGCGUGGGGAGCAAACAGG
rnacentral:rRNA from 1 species